rfam:Deltaproteobacteria bacterium GWF2_42_12 gwf2_scaffold_3458, whole genome shotgun sequence.
GAAGGAGUGGAGUCAACCCUUGGGAAAACCCCCCUUGGAAAAAAGUUCUUGACGAGAUAUGGAUUUUUCUGUUAAAGUAUAUCUUCAAGUAAGUUGUAGGUUGGUUUAUAUGUUUGGGUUAAUAAUAGAAGGAACACAAAACCUCUUAUGGCUUAUGAAGAUUAUGAAAGGAGGUUUUGUGCAAUGGCAACAGGAAAAGUAAAAUGGUUCAAUGAUUCCAAAGGUUUUGGAUUUAUUGAACAAGAGUCUGGCGACGAUGUGUUCGUGCAUUUUUCUGCUAUUCAGGGCGAUGGUUUUAAGACCCUGAAAGAAGGUCAGAAGGUGAACUUUGACGUCGUAAAAGGGCCAAAAGGUCCGCAGGCGGCAAAUGUGAUGCCAGAGUAAAUAAGGUCACAUAUAACCAAAAAGAGAAGCCCGCUCCUCCCCCUUUAUCCCCCUCUAUGAGGGGGACAGGGAGAGGGGGCGGGCUUUUU